GUUUGGGUGAUGCAAAUGGUUAACACACUUGGCCGCUAACCAAACGGCUGGUGGUUCAAGUCCACCCACAGAUG
rnacentral:tRNA from 1 species